rnacentral:lncRNA from 1 species
AUCUUUCCGAGACAUUUAAAAAUCAAGGAUGUAAAAAAAAUACACCUUGACAAAUACUUUUCUAAAAUAAACUUGACAAAUAUUUUUAAAACUUUCACUGAUUUAUUGAAUAUGAAAUAAUAGACGAGUUUUAGUAUUUGAGCGAAUCAGGCCUACAAACACAGUUUAUCCAAAAUAGUUUAAAUCAAGUAAUAGUCAAUAAAAGUGACCGUGCUAGAACCACGGGACUCUAG